CUCUGUCCUCGACGCGUUUUUGAGCUCCCGGUUGAGGCGGUCGGUGAAGCCUUGGAGCAGAGUGUUCCCCCCGGUGACAAUGACGCUGCCAUAGAGACCCUAUGGGGCAGGGACUCACUGUUCAUCAUAGGGGGAGUCUGACACCUGCAGUACUGAGGCUUGGAAGUCCUGGAUCACCUCCUAUGGGGCAGGAUAUGGGCUCCCGGCACUGCAUAGAGAUGAAGUCUCCAGCCAAUGGGGACUUGACGAUGCCUAAGGCAGCCAAUGGAAGAACGCUGGGAUGUUGUAGUGCUCAAACAUCAGCUCCGUCAGCUUCUCACGCUUGGCGCGGGUGUUCCACUGCGGGAGCGGGUGUGAUCCAGGAUGGCCUGGAAACAAUCCCAGUCCUCGACUGGGAGCCGUGGGCUCCAGCCCCACGUCCUCGGGGGGCAGCAGGCCCACGCUGGUGGGGAAGUCAGCCUGGGGGCGGCCAUGAUGGCACGGGGUCACGUGAUGAGGACACGGGGUCACGUGGUGAGG